AGAGUUUGAUCCUGGCUCAGGACGAACGCUGGCGGCACGCUUAACACAUGCAAGUCGAACGAGAGAAGAGGAGCUUGCUUUUCUGAUCUAGUGGCGGACGGGUGAGUAACACGUGAGCAACCUGCCUUUCAGAGGGGGAUACCGAUUGGAAACGAUCGUUAAUACCGCAUAACAUAAUUGAACCGCAUGAUUUGAUUAUCAAAGAUUUAUCGCUGAAAGAUGAGCUCGCGUCUGAUUAGCUAGUUGGUAAGGUAACGGCUUACCAAGGCGACGAUCAGUAGCCGGACUGAGAGGUUGAUCGGCCACAUUGGGACUGAGACACGGCCCAGACUCCUACGGGAGGCAGCAGUGGGGAAUAUUGCACAAUGGAGGAAACUCUGAUGCAGCGAUGCCGCGUGAGGGAAGAAGGUUUUAGGAUUGUAAACCUCUGUCUUCAGGGACGAAAAAUGACGGUACCUGAGGAGGAAGCUCCGGCUAACUACGUGCCAGCAGCCGCGGUAAUACGUAGGGAGCAAGCGUUGUCCGGAUUUACUGGGUGUAAAGGGUGCGUAGGCGGCUUUGCAAGUCAGAUGUGAAAUCUAUGGGCUCAACCCAUAAACUGCAUUUGAAACUGUAGAGCUUGAGUGAAGUAGAGGCAGGCGGAAUUCCCCGUGUAGCGGUGAAAUGCGUAGAGAUGGGGAGGAACACCAGUGGCGAAGGCGGCCUGCUGGGCUUUAACUGACGCUGAGGCACGAAAGCGUGGGUAGCAAACAGGAUUAGAUACCCUGGUAGUCCACGCUGUAAACGAUGAUUACUAGGUGUGGGGGGUCUGACCCCUUCCGUGCCGGAGUUAACACAAUAAGUAAUCCACCUGGGGAGUACGGCCGCAAGGUUGAAACUCAAAGGAAUUGACGGGGGCCCGCACAAGCAGUGGAGUAU
rnacentral:rRNA from 1 species